GGUGAACGCUGGCGGCGUGCCUAACACAUGCAAGUCGAGCGGUGCAGUUUGAAGCUUCGGUGGAAGGCUGCAUAGCGGCGGACGGGUGAGGAAAACGUAGGAACGUGCCCCUUGGAGUUGGAUAGCCACGGGAAACUGUGGGUAAACCGACAUAGACUCGAGAGAGUAAAGGCCGAAAGGCGCCAAGGGAGCGGCCUGCGGCCCAUCAGGUAGUUGGUAGUGUAAAGGACUACCAAGCCGACGACGGGUAGCCGGUCUGAGAGGAUGGCCGGCCACAAGGGCACUGAGAGACGGGCCCUACUCCUACGGGAGGCAGCAGUGGGGGAUUUUGGACAAUGGGCGAAAGCCUGAUCCAGCGACGCCGCGUGGAGGACGAAGCCCUUCGGGGUGUAAACUCCUUUUCUCAGGGAAAAAGGAUGAUGGUACCUGAGGAAUAAGCCCCGGCUAACUACGUG
rnacentral:rRNA from 1 species